UACGUAGGGUGCGAGCGUUGCCCGGAUUUAUUGGGCGUAAAGGGCGCGUAGGCGGUCACGCACGUCCGUUGUGAAAUCGCUCGGCACAACUGGGCGGGGUCAGCGGAUACGGCGUGGCUGGAGCAAGCUAGGGGGCAAUGGAAUUCCCGGUGUAGUGGUGGAAUGCGUAGAUAUCGGGAGGAACACCAGUGGCGAAGGCGGUUGCCUGGAGCUUUGCUGACGCUGAUGCGCGAAAGCGUGGGGAGCGAUCUGG
rnacentral:rRNA from 1 species